rnacentral:rRNA from 1 species
UCAGACGAUGCGUCAUGCAUAUCAAUAAGCGGAGGAAAAGAAACUAACAAGGAUUCCCUUAGUAACGGCGAGUGAAGCGGGAAGAGCUCAAAUUUGAAAUCUUCAAGGUUUUACCCUGGACGAAUUGUAGUUUAAAGAAGUGUUUUCUGCUGAAGUUUUGGUAAAAGUUCUUUGGAAUAGGACAUCAUAGAGGGUGAGAAUCCCGUAUUUGACCAUUAUUUUCAGCUGUGUGAUACACUUUCAAAGAGUCGGAUUGUUUGGGAAUGCAGUCCAAAAUGGGUGGUAAAUUUCAUCUAAAGCUAAAUAUUGGCGAGAGACCGAUAGCGAACAAGUACCGUGAGGGGAAAGAUGAAAAGAACUUUGAAAAGAGAGUUAAACAGUACGUGAAAUUGUCAAAAGGGAAGCGUUUGACACCAGUGUUGUUUUCUCGAAAAUCAAUUAAAAAGAGUUAGAUUUUGUUGUGUAUUGACCUUAACAGCUUGCAUUUCAAUUUUCUUGCUUUUUUUAAUGCACUUUUCGUUUAACAAGUCAACAUCAGUUUCUUUUGUUGUAAAAAGGUCAUUGGAAGGUGGCUUUCUUUUCGGAGAAAGUGUUUAUAGCCUUUGACUCCUGCAAUCGGAGAGACUGAGGUCUGCAGCGUAGAUCCUUCGGGGUUAGAUACAUUUGUGCUAAGUUAUAGCUUUUUAUAGACAACUUGUUGAUCUAUGAUUAGUCUUGUAGCUUACUCGCUUAUGCUAUUUUACCUACGCUUAGGAUGUUGAGUCGUAGAGCACGCA